CUGCUCAUGCGCUCUCUUUGCCUGCUGCCAUCCACAAAAGAUGGGACUUGCUCCUCCUUGCCUUCCGCCAUGAUUGUGAGGCCUCCCCAGCCAUGUGGAACUAGUGCUUCUCAGAAGUGAAUGUCAACUUCCUGAUGUUUAUACUCAAGGAGAAUGAGGUUUGGAGAUCUGAGUAGUUUACUGAAGGCACUCACAUUGAAAGAUUUUAUGAAGCUGAAAUUCAAAUCUAGAUGUGCCCCAUCCAAAGACCACCCUCUUUAUACAGCAACAUGCUGCUUCCCCUGGAUCAAGAAACACAAGAUUAUUAUCUUCUGUGCCAUCAAGAACUUUCCACAAUUGCUUCAAGAAAUUUGUUUCCAAGUCAAUUAUAUCAAGUCUGCAACAUUUAAUGCUGGCAGAUUCUUGAUCUUACAAAAAGGUGUCAAAAAAAGUAUUGAGACAGCAACCAGAAUUCAUGUUUAUUCCUCAAGUAGUCCUUAACUGGUUGUUGACUGAAACAUCAAAGACCUGUCAUUUUCCUAUUACGCUACUAGAAUAUUAAUCAACUUCUUGCCAGCAGGAGAAAUGUAACUAUAUGGCAACUGUAAGAUGUUCCUAAAUGUUAUUGAUGUCAAGAUGUAAUGUGUGCAAAAGUUUAUCCCAGAAUAAACAAUCAAACAAACAAA